UCCCUGGUUGUUCAGUGGUUCAGACUCUGCACUCCCAGUGCAGGGGGCCUGGGUUCAAACCCUGGUCAGGCAA
rnacentral:tRNA from 1 species